AGACAUUGAUGAAUUAAAAUUGAGUAUUACUCUUAGUUUAGUUUCUUCCUUAGUGUAGGGCUUGGAUAAGCCAUAUUAGUGUAGGUCUUAGAUAAGACAUCAAAACUUGAGAGAUUAAUACAUUUGAUGGAUUUCACUUGUGUUGAUCAAUUGGCAAGAAACGUAUGAUUGAGGGAGUGUGAGUUCCUUUGGUCCACCUAAGAGGAAGGUUUGAGCUUACAUUGGUGAUGUGUGUUUGAAGGUUUGAUACACCUUCUAGUGCUAUUCAUUGGUGGAAGUGAAGGUCUUUCUAUCUAUCUUUACUUUGUGUUGUUUUUCCUUUUGUGUGUUUGCUGAUUUUUGCCUCCUAGUAUCCAUUUCGUGAAUUCCUAGUAUUUUCUUAUAUCAUUUGGUAUCAAAGCCAUGUUUUAGGGUUGUUCCUACAACCCUAAGUCUUGGGUUAUUGAUUACCUUGAAGAAAAUCAACAAAAAAGAGUGUAGAAAAUUGAAAAUCUCACAAAAAAAAUUCUUAACCCGUUUUUGUGUUUUGACAGAUUUUUAGAUCUUAGAUCUACUUUGUUUUUGUGUGUUUUGUUGGUUUCAAGUGCUAGAUUUUUGUUCCCUAGCAUCUAGGGAGUCUAGAUCUACAUUUGGAACAAGAUUUGGUUGAGUUUGAGCUAAGAACCUCCAUGGAUAUGGUGUUUUGAAGAUUUUUGAGCAUAGAUCCGUGUGGGUUUUGAAGUUGGACGUUGGUUUGUUGCUGAUUUUUAGCUAUUUUAGUUGACCUUGGCCUAAGGAACCUAGAUCUACAAGAAAAUCCGAAUUUGGGGUUCAUUUGGUUAGGGGUCAAACUUUGGUCAACUCUUAAAUAUUCAUCUUGUUCUUCCAUGUUCAUCAAGUCUUGCUAAGGAAGAUUAUUCAAAGAGUGUGUUUGAUCCAAAAAAGGAGAAGAAAGAGAGUGUACUUGGUGUUUGUGAAAGAAUAUUCCUUGGCAUAUUCAUUCUCAUCCAAAAGAAAGAAGAGACAAAGGGAAUAAUCAAGUACAAUUGCAUUUAUUAGGGGGGGGGGGGACCAAUCCAUUUUGAAUUCAUUUGAAGAUCCAAAAGGGCUCCAAACCUUCAAUUCUUCCCUCUCAAAUGAAAUUUCUUCUUCUCCUAAGUGUAUUUGAACGUAACAAGGUUUUGGGGAAAAUUGAAAAUCCGAAAAGUGACGUCCAACCACAAGCUGCCACGUCAUCACUUUUAUGAAUAACCAAAUUGAGUUCUAAAUUAGAUUUUCUAGUUUCUAGUUUUUGAUUCUAGUUUCUUAUUAGUCAAUUCUACCCCUAAUUAGUAAGCUAGUAAGUACCUACUAGUUUGAUAAUUAGAUUAGAUUCCGUUUGUUUUGCGUCUUCAAUUUUGUGUGCUUUUCUCAUUUUUAAAUUCGUAGCAGUUUGAUGGUUCAAGUCCGUACAUCAUUUUAUUUGAGUCUUAUCAAAUAAGAAUCGAUUCCAGACCAAAGCAUUACACCACUCAUUCACUUGCCAAGUAUUGCCAAGUAUUCAACACUUGUGAGACCAAGUGUGAGGUAAGAAUCCGAGAGUGAGAGAGUUGGUGAGGAUAUUUGAACAAACUUGUUUGUUUCUUUAUUUUAGGUACCAUGGUUGCCUAUAGUUUUGAUGCUAUGUUUGAUCAUAUCAAUGACAAUAUUCAUAGCUUCAUUGAAGAUAUGUGCCAAAUGCUUAGUGCACUAAAUCCCAAUUUGUGAAAAAGAGAUGAAGAGGUGAAACAAGGGAGAAGACUUGACACACUCCCUUGUGAUGUGAGAUUCUCAAAGGAUAAAGUGGGCUGCCAUGAUCCGAACCAAGGCAAAGAAGAAUGUACUCAAGAACGUAAAGGUACAGGUACUCUAGCUAGUAGACCACCCCAGUAGGAGCACAGGAUAUCCAGAUGCUAUUGGUGAGCUCCAAGUUGAUUCGGAGCUUUUCGAGCCUAUUAUAUAUUUUGGUAUUGUGUAGUAGUUAUGAGCAAGGUGGGGGUUUGUCCCGACCUUAACUAAGUAUCCAGGUGUCUUUUAGAUGCUUUGCAGACUAUGUGAAAAGUGUGGUAGUAUCGUGUUCUUUUAACGUUGUGGACCCAACGGCAAAGUCUUGUAUAUGUAGGUUUGGACUUACUUACGUGGUUUGUUUUAUCAAUGCAUCUUAUCCAUA